rnacentral:lncRNA from 1 species
CUCGUCGAAAGUCUUCCAUUCUUCAAACUAGAUUAUUUAAAAAUGAAAAAGGAAGAAAGGAAAGCGAGGUCAUCUCAUUGCUCUAUCCGCCAAUCAGGAGGCUGAAUGUCAGUUUUGAACUAAAAGCCGCUCCGCUCCUCUUCUAGAUUUGGAAAACAAGCGAAAUUAAACUAAACCGCUGCACGCCUCUGACGCGACAUCUGGACACGGCGCGGCGCUGGCGCUGCCGGAGCUGUCGACCCGGCCUGGCGCCGGACUAGUGUCCCUUUUGAUGAGAAGAAUAAGCCUCAUUCUGAUUCAACAGCAGAGAUCAAAGAAAAGACUUCUGUUUUCUGGCCACCAGAUAUAUGUUAUCUGUGCUUAAAGAAUUGAAAAACACACAUCAAAGGAGAAUUUUCUUGGAAAGAGAGGGUUCAAGCAUCACUGUUAGGUGUGCUGGAAUCCUUUCCCGAGUCAGUACUGCUUUCUAGAAGAAAACCGGGGAGAUCUAUUUGGAAUGUAUCUAACUCCAAAGAAACCAUCAGAGGUAACAGUAGAGACGGGGUUUCACCAUGUUGGCCAGACUGGUCUUGAACUCUCGACCUCGUGAUUCGCCCGCCUCGGCCUCCCAAAGUGCUGGGAUUACAGGUGUGAGACACCACACCCGGCGGAUAGAGAGAAUUUUGACAGGUGAUGGAGGCUUUUUAUUUUGCCACAAAACCACUGGUGACGUUGCCUGUGGCCACCUUGGAGAAGACACUGGAGGAUGAUUACGGAGCUAGGAAUUUCCUACGAAGCUGGGUGAUAAAAGGACAUUGGACAAAAACACAGAUAGCUUCAUUCUAUACCAGGAUCCAUCACUGAUUAGCUGUAUUAUAUUUGUCUCUACUGUAAUUUGAGGAGAAUGAUACCUGCUUCUCUAUCUUGUUGGGUUUUACAGAUGAUGUAUUGAAAGUUCAAUAAAAUCUAUAAACAAU